AAUAAACUUGAAUUCCUCAGAAAAUAUAAAUUUCAGCAGAUUUUUUUAAAAAUAAAAUUUUAGAUGUUAGUAAAGUUUUCUAGAAAGCUACGAGACUAUGUAUCAUCAAGUUGCAGCAAUCGUUUAGAUAAAAAAGUUACGAAACUAUGUAUCAUCAAGUCACAGCAAUCGUUUAGAUAAGAAAGUUACGAAACUAUGUAUUAUCAAGUCACAGCAAUGGCUUAAAUGAUCAAUUUCCUUUGUCAAUUUCAUGUAGUUAUUUUUAUGAAAAUAAACUGCUUGUGAGAAUUUCAAUUGAUCAAUCUGAAUACACGUUUGUCUGAAUCUGUAGCUGAGACUAUGACCGCUGAAAAUCUGCCUAUUGUUAUUCAAUCUGAAAACCUGUAUUUACCUGAAGCUGUAGAUGAGACUAUUACCGUUGAAAAUCUGUCUAUUGGUGAGAUAUUUUAUCAUAUUCCGUUAAUCCGGAUAUAUGUUAUGAUUAUUACGGUAAAGCUCAAUAUUCAUUUUACAUUACAACUGGCAUGAAUACACAUCUUCAAUCAUCUGGUAAUGAUGUAGAGAUACAUUCAUCAGCAAUUGCUUCCAAUGACUUGGUUACAGGAAAGAGGAAGAAGAAGUCCUUUACCCCGAAAGAGAAGACUUUAGAAAAGCGAAAAUGUGAACCUGAGUCAUGGAAAAAAAAGGCAGCGACAUUAGCAAGAGAGAGAGGGCAGUCUUAAAAAAGUCAGGGUACGAACAAAGAAAUGCCUUCUAAAAUGGUUAAUGAGGGCAUUCCGUGCAACGAAAAUUGUCGUUGGAGUUGCAGCUCAAAGAUCAGUGUAGAAGAUAGAGCAAGUCUUUUAGAGGCAUUUUACAAACUGGAUGUAAAUGCAAAGAAGGUCCUAUCGUUUAAAUGCAUUACUAAAACAGCCAUUAAAAGAAUGCGACUAAAUGCAAAAUCCCCUAAAAGUGCUUCUUAUUUCUAUAAAGUAUCUAAAAGCACUCUGCAGCCUCUACAAAAUUGGAAUGAAGAAAGUGGAUAUUAUAAAAAGUAGGAUUGAUGAUGGCGUUUCUGCUCCACCGAAGGACUUAAGAGGGAGGCAUCCAAAUAGACCCCACAAAAUGCAAGAUGAGGUUCUUCAAAGAAUCAUUGCCCACAUUAAAAAAUUCCCAGUAGAGGAGUAACACUACUCUAGAAAUAAAAACUUUCAUAAAAAGCAUUUAUCGCCUGUGCUCAAUAUUACUUUGUUGUACCAAUCGUACAUAGAAGAGUGUGAGAAAGAGAAAUUAAGCGAAAUGUAUAAAAUUAAAAAAUGUACCUUCACAAAUGCUGGCCUUGCGAUGAAUAAGAACUGCGCGACACAUAAGCACG